rnacentral:sRNA from 1 species
CGGAAGGAUCAUUGUCGAAUCCUAAAAACAACUUGCGAAUAUGUUCAAUAACUUGCGUUCGGUGUUGGGGUAAAACCCUUGCCUUUCGCUACUUGCCUGCCUUGGCUAACAUUGUUGGCCUUGUUGGGCAAUUGUAACAUAAAUCGGCGCGGGAAGCGCCAAGGACUUAUGAAAUAGGAUGCCUUUCCUGUGGGGGUGGACCGUUUGCGGAGUCAUCACCACAGGAACCAAAGGACUCCAAAUGUAACAUUAUACGACUCUCGACAACGGAUAUCUAGGCUCUCGCAUCGAUGAAGAACGUAGCAAAAUGCGAUACUUGGUGUGAAUUGCAGAAUCCCGUGAAUCAUCGAGUUUUUGAACGCAAGUUGCGCCCAAAGCCAUUAGGCCGAGGGCACGUCUGCCUGGGUGUCACGCAUGGCGUCGCCCCUCAUCCCCCUUGGUCCCUCAAGGUCCGUGGGUGAAGUUUGUGGGGCGGAAUUUGGCUUCCUGUAACUCCUUAGUUGCGGCUAGCCUAAAAAUGUUGUUCCCUCGCCGCGCACGUUGCGACAAGUGGUGGUCGAUUCAAUUGAGCGCGAGUUGUCGGCAAGUCGCGUCGAGGAGAGCUUCGGAUCCUUUGUGCACGAGUCCUUCAUUAAGAGGGACAUAUGUCCACGACUGCGACCCCAGGUCAGGC